UCCAAGAACAAAAUUUUGUGGGUACAGCAUUCCUCAUCCCUCGGAUAACCGAGUUAAUAUCAGAAUUCAGACAACAGGUGAUGCAGCAAAAGAUGUGUUCAACGAUUCAUGCCAGGAUCUCAUGGUGAUUUGCCAACACGUGAGGAGCACUUUUGACAAGGCUGUCGUUGAUUUUAGAAUGAGCAAAUCCGUAAAUGGCAUGGAUAUUGACUCAAAUAAUUGAAGCCUCUUUUAUCUUAGUUUUGAUUAUAAAUCUAGUCAAUGACGGAUGCAUUACAAGUUUGACCUUGUUUGCUUGUGUUGUGCACUGUAUAGCAAAACUAUUUGUAAUGGUUAUAAAGAACUUGCAAGACCGUCA